rnacentral:rRNA from 1 species
CCUACGGGAGGCAGCAGUGGGGAAUUUUGGACAAUGGGCGCAAGCCUGAUCCAGCAAUGCCGCGUGAGUGAAGAAGGCCUUCGGGUUGUAAAGCUCUUUUGUCAGGGAAGAAACGGUGUGGGCUAAUAUCCCGCACUAAUGACGGUACCUGAAGAAUAAGCACCGGCUAACUACGUGCCAGCAGCCGCGGUAAUACGUAGGGUGCAAGCGUUAAUCGGAAUUACUGGGCGUAAAGCGUGCGCAGGCGGUUUUGUAAGUUUGUCGUGAAAUCCCCGGGCUCAACCUGGGAAUGGCGAUGAAGACUGCAAGGCUAGAAUCUGGCAGAGGGGGGUAGAAUUCCACGUGUAGCAGUGAAAUGCGUAGAGAUGUGGAGGAACACCGAUGGCGAAGGCAGCCCCCUGGGUCAAGAUUGACGCUCAUGCACGAAAGCGUGGGGAGCAAACAGGAUUAGAUACCCUGGUAGUCCACGCCCUAAACGAUGUCUACUAGUUGUCGGGUUUUAAUAACUUGGUAACGCAGCUAACGCGUGAAGUAGACCGCCUGGGGAGUACGGUCGCAAGAUUAAAACNCAAAUGAAUUGACG